UUACGUUGUUAUCCCUAAGGUAAUUUAAUCUUAUAAUCAAAAUAAAUGGAUCAAAAAUAUAUACAUAAAUAUAUAAAAAUAAAGAGGAGUUAAACAAUAUUCCUCCCAUCACCCCAACAAAACAAUUCACUCCCACUCAAUGUAAAUAAAACAAACAACGAACAAAUAGGAAAAUUGUCAAACUCUAUAGGGUCUUCUCGUCCCAUAAAAACAUUUAAGAAUUUUAACUCAAAAACCAAAUUCAAUAAAUCAAUACUUCUAAGACAGCUUAUGUCUCGUCAAGCCAUUCAUACCAGAUCACAAUUAAAGAACUAAUGAUUAUGCUACCUUUGCACGGUCAAAAUACCGCGGCCCUUCAACUCCAAGUCAGUGGGCAGGCCAUACUUCAAAAACUAACAAGAAAAGAUGUUUUUGAUAAACAGGCG
rnacentral:rRNA from 1 species